rnacentral:rRNA from 1 species
GUGUCAGCCGCCGCGGUAAAACGUAGGUACCGAGCGUUAUCCGGAUUUACUGGGCGUAAAGCGCGUUCAGGCGGCCGCGCAAGUCGGGCAUGAAAUCUCUCGGCUCAACCGGGAGAGGCUGUCCGAUACUGCGUGGCUUGAGGGCAGUAGAGGGUGGUGGAAUUCCGGGUGUAGUGGUGAAAUGCGUAGAGAUCCGGAGGAACACCAGUGGCGAAGGCGGCCACCUGGACUGCCCCUGACGCUGAAACGCGAAAGCUAGGGGAGCGAACGGGAUUAGAAACCCCAGUAGUCC